rnacentral:lncRNA from 1 species
CCGCGCUCCGAAGGCGUGGCAGGUUCUCUCGCCUCUUACCCUAAAUCUUCAGAGGAAGUAAGAGCCAGGCCCACAGCUGGAUGGGAACCGGGCCAGGAAAAGAGGACGCUCCUUUGUUGUUCCCGUUCUCUGAUUGAUUUGGCGACCGUCUGCUGAAGCCGAGUGCGGUGCCGUGACUGGCUGGGGGUCCCAGAGAAGUGGGAGACAGCUGCCGCCUUGGCAGGGCUCACGUUGAGGAGGGACACUCCUGAACGCGAGUGCUUACUGUCUUGGACCGUGGAGCCAUCCGAGGGUCGUGUCCGGCCCGAUGCCUGGGCACAAUCUUUAACUGGGAAGGUCACGGGAACCUGAUGGGCUGGUGCACGUGUUGCGGCUCAGAAAACCUAAUGCCAUUACCUGAUC